GACAGAGGGUGCAAACGUUGUUCGGAAUUACUGGGCGUAAAGCGAGUGUAGGCGGUCCUAAAAGUCGGGUGUGAAAGCCCCGGGCUCAACCCGGGAAGUGCACUCGAAACUGCAGGGCUAGAGUAUCGGAGAGGUUGGUGGAAUUCUCGGUGUAGAGGUGAAAUUCGUAGAUAUCGAGAGGAACACCGGUGGCGAAGGCGGCCAACUGGACGAAUACUGACGCUGAGACUCGAAAGCGUGGGGAGCAAACAGG
rnacentral:rRNA from 1 species